ACGCUACUUCCCCACUUGACUAGUGCCAUUUAUUUUCGAUUAUGAAAAAAAACAUAGGCCGGCAGGCCGCCAUACGGAGUAGAGUCGCUGAGUCGCAGAGUCGUCGUUGUAGCUAAUCUAGCUUUGCGCUUCGGUUUCAAAAUGUCAAUUUAAACAGUCAAUACUUUAUUAUGUAAAUGUUGACUUUAUUUGUUUGCCUUAAUGGUCAAAACGAGCAGAGGCACCUCGUAGAAGAAUUGCGUACUUCACAGUUUCGUCCAAGCAACGAAGGAAGGUCGACGAAACGUGCCAUUACUGCCAUCUGAUUUCUUCCACACCAUCAUGUCACACAAUUGUUAACCAUGACACAAUUUUCAAUUUCAUGACAACACAAUUUUUCUUUCUUCGGCUGCCUCGGCAUUGACUAAUUAGUUUCAUAUAUUGACUUCAUCUUGAGCAAUUUGCUUUGAGAGCCUUAACAGAAAACAUGCUGUCAACCUCGAAAACCAAUCCAGCAAUCCCGAGCAAUCCUUUGGAUCAUGCACAAAACUUCAAACCUCAAAUAAAGAAAAGCAGACGACAAACAGAAAAGAAAUAAACGAUGCGCCAUCUAUAUUCGUGAAAUAUAUUCGCCACCUAGCGGUCGAAUGGCAUCUCACGGUAAAAAUUGUCAACUACUGAUCAAUCGUUGGCAACGUAGGACUAUUUUCGAUUUUGGUAGUAAAAUAUUCAAAGUGCUACUUAAACUUUUAAUAAUAAUAAAAAAAAAAAACAAGAUCAUGUAAUCCAUCUUUCGAGUCAAAAUUCAGUACAAACUUAUUGCGAAAAAAAUGUCGCACAUUGCGUUUUUCUCAUCAUUUCCUGCAGCUGAAAAAGAAAAUUGACAAAAUUAAAUCGCAAGUUAGACAUGCUUCAAAUCACUUACA
rnacentral:lncRNA from 1 species